rfam:Bacillus sp. FJAT-25509 scaffold5, whole genome shotgun sequence.
GCGAUGAGCUAAUUUGAGUAAGACGAGAGAUAUGCGCAAGCUAAACGCGCGGAUGUGGCCGCCCGGUCUCUCGCCUCAAACGCAUCAAGACGUCUGCUGCGGCAGGCGUC